GAUGAACGCUAGCUACAGGCUUAACACAUGCAAGUCGAGGGGCAGCAGGGCGAUAGCUUGCUAUUGCCGCUGGCGACCGGCGCACGGGUGAGUAACGCGUAUCCAACCUUCCCCUUAGUAGAGGAUAGCCCGGCGAAAGUCGGAUUAAUACUCUAUGUUGUAUUUUGAUGACAUCUGACGAAUACCAAAGAUUUAUCGCUAAGGGAUGGGGAUGCGUCUGAUUAGCUUGUCGGCGGGGUAACGGCCCACCGAGGCGACGAUCAGUAGGGGUUCUGAGAGGAAGGUCCCCCACAUUGGUACUGAGACACGGACCAAACUCC
rnacentral:rRNA from 1 species